rnacentral:rRNA from 1 species
GAACGGACAGUUAUUUAUAGCCUCGGCUAUAAGUAUCUGUUAGUGGCAGACGGGUGAGUAAUGCGUAGGAAUCUGCCUAGUAGUAUGGAAUAGCUAUUAGAAAUGAUAGGUAAUACUGUAUAAUCCCUGAGGGGGAAAGAUUUAUCGCUAUUAGAUGAGCCUACGUUAGAUUAGCUAGUUGGUAAGGUAAUGGCUUACCAAGGCAAUGAUCUAUAGCUGGUCUGAGAGGACGAUCAGCCACACUGGAACUGAGAUACGGUCCAGACUCCUACGGGAGGCAGCAGUGGGGAAUAUUGGACAAUGGGCGAAAGCCUGAUCCAGCUAUGCCGCGUGAG